rfam:Streptomyces natalensis ATCC 27448 Scaffold_35, whole genome shotgun sequence.
UUUGACGGACCCCAGCAGCAGCGGGCGGUCGUCGUCGCGGCCCUGGCCGUAGGUCGCCAGCAGCGCCUGGGCCUC